CACCACCCAGGCUUAUGUGCCCUCCUACUCAUUCGAGUCUAGCUUCAUAGAGCAGACGGAAUUACAGGUACUAUUCCCUCUUAAUUUUAUCUUGUAAAAAUAUUAAUAUUAUUAAAAUUAUUAAAAUUUUUAGGUACAAGAUAUAACUGGUGGGUACAUACCCAGUCCCACCACCCAGGCUUAUGUUCCCACCCAGGCAUUUGAGACUGGCUUCAUAGAGUAGGCGGGUAAACAUGUACUAUUAUUCUCAGGUUACUAUUAUAAAAUCCCUCUUAAUUUUACUACUUAAAAAUAUUAAUAUUAGUAAUUAUUAUUAAUACUAUUUUUAUGUUUAUCAAUAUAUUUUCUAAGUAUAAGAGCAGGCGGAAUUACACAUCUCUUAUGGUGCAAAAAAGUGUCCGACCAAAAAACUUAGGGAAUACAAGAUAGAGUUUAUAAAUAAUCACUUGUUUGGGAACACACUUUCUAAUCCACCCAUAUUUCCUUUCAUACAUCCGCAAAACUUGUAUACGCUGCAACACAACGCAUUCAAGGCCAUAAGCCCUACAACUUGGAUUUUCGAGCAUUCGUUGGACGCGUACAUGCUAUUGCUGCAGGAUAGAGAGGAGUACUACAAGACGCGGGGAAUUAGAAGAUGGGCAAAAUUUGGCUUCAUGGAAUCAUUCUUCAUGCAUCUUGGCAAGAGCUUUGCGCCCCUAAGUCAGGCGAAUGGGGCAGAGAGUUUUUGUCACCCCUAUGUCCACCCAGAUAUGGGCCCGGCAUUACAUGAAUGCACAUAUAUAUUCAUGCCAGUGUGUACUUAAGAGACCAAGCAUUUUAUCUUGCUUGUAUUCUCGGUGCCUGAAUGGGCAGUCACCAUCUUUGACCCUAUGUACGAUGAUAUCCCGUGUAUGACCAUCCAGCAAAUGUAUAGAGAAUUUGUUGAAGUUGCGGUAUGUAUAUUAAUUGUUAGUGUUGUACUUUUAUAUAUGUCAUACAAUUUAUAUCCAUAAAUAAUAUUACUUUGUGCACGCAGGUCAAAUUUAUACCAGUUUGUUUAAGAAUUGGUGAUCCGCAACAUGAGUGGCCAACACAGGAUCCACGUGUGCUCAUACCAAAGUCCAGACAUGUGAAGCCUGAUAAGACAGAUUGUGGUAUUUUCGUUUACAAAUAUGUUGAUUACUUUGUUAGGGGCAGUGUAAAUAUUCGUAGAGAAAAUGGUCCUUAGAAGAUUUAAUGGUAUUUCAAUACCGAAUUGCAUGGGAACUCUUUAGAUGUCAAGCUAGACUUCUUCCCGCGGAUGAUAUUUAGACUUAUAUUUUAAUUCAUAUUAUUGGUGUACUAAUUAUGAAAUCUAUGAAAAUUCCUGUUUAUGUUUACCAUUUCAUGUUUAACGCUAUUUAGUUAAUAUUAUUAUUAUUACUAUUAUUUUUAUUUUGGGGCAUAUAUAUACGAGGUAAAUAUGGAUUAUACGAAAUGUAGUUAGGAGGAUAAGGUUGCCGAAACAAAUGAAAUAGAUGUGGAGGCACAGCUAAAGAACUCUGUCUGCACCCACAGGUUGAGUUGCAGGUGGUGGUGUACCUGAUGCUGACAAAAACAUGGAAUUUCCGCCAUGCAAUUAAACAGUAGAUAUUGAUUAGCAACAAUAGAUAACUGGUGAAACAAAAAAGGUAGCAAUAUCAGAUCUCAAAAACAUUUCUUGACAAGCCAAGGCUAGGUGUGGGUGGGUGUUUGUGUGUGCUGGGUGGUUUGGGGGGGAGGUUACACAGGUAUCAAAGUGCUCAUCUUUAAACAGUUAAAUGUAUUGUGAGCCCUAAAAGAUGAUAGAACUUUAUCCAUUAGAAAUUGCAGGCAGCAUAUAUGCAAGCAGUUCUAACAACUUCCACAUGGAAAAUAAUGCAAGAACCAGUAUUCAGAAUUAGGAACUGAGAUAACUACCAAAAAGUUCUAGGGAAAAAAAUACAUCAGAUUAUUUAUUUCAAUCAGAUAAGCUUAUCAUAAUAGGUAAUCAAUUACGUGUUCCAACAAAACUCUAGUUUUCAAUUGCCAAUUAAGGCUACCAUGCACCAAUCAUCUAGAGAUAAAUGAGAGUAGGGUAAGUGAACAAAGUGGUAAACCCCAAACAAAUGAUAUUGUCAUUGCUCCAUACUGUCAAGUAUCAACAAUUCAAGAAACACAAGCUUCAUAUGAUCCAGACCACAAAUCUCAACAGAAUUGAGCCACACUAUUCACUCAUCCUGAGAAAUAACGUUUUUGCUUUGCUUAGGGUGGUUAAGAUGGCUCCAAGAAUAUCAAAAUACAAUUUCCUUCACAUGUCAAAUAUUAAGCAUUGUUGCACUACUAUCCAAUAUUCUUCCAUAACUAUACCAAGCCAAAAUAUAUACCCAAUUCAAUUUAAAACUAAACUCACCUUUCAAAUCAAUUAGAUGUUCCAAAAUAUUAUAUUAUUUACAUCUCGAUGAGUUAAUUUUCCAAAACACAAUUUCAAUCCCCAAUUUUUCACACAUUAGAUCCCUAAAAUAGUCAGGAGUUUCAAAAAUACAUAAAUAAAUUCGAAAUUCCAUAAAAUUAAAAAAAAUAGGACUUGAAGGGACUCACCCAAGAAAGGAGGUAGGAAAAGAUGGCGGUUACCAGCGGCAGAGAUGGAGAUGGAGAUGGUGGCGGUGGUGCUCCUUCGUUGCCGCGUGGAUUGUCUAUAUAUGGGGAUAGAUCGCAGUGUGAUGGCAGGGGUGGUGCUCCGUUCAUAUCGAAGCUGCGGUGGAGAUGGAGACGAAUCAAAGCUGCAUUAAAGGUAAGCAAAGAAGAGAAAGUGGCGAUGGAAAAUCGAGAGGAGAACCAAUAUGGGUUAUUUGGGCAAAACACGUAGCUCAGAUUUAUUCAACCUAUUCACAUAUGUAUUGGAUUUUAUAUUUUUUAUGAGAU
rnacentral:lncRNA from 1 species